UAGCCGUAAACGAUACUCGCUAGGUGUCGGCCACGGUGCGACCGUUGUCGGUGCCGUAGGGAAGCCGCGAAGCGAGCCACCUGGGAAGUACGGCCGCAAGGCUAAAACUUAAAGGAAUUGGCGGGGGAGCACAACAACGGGUGGAGCUUGCGGUUUAAUUGGAUUCAACGCCGGAAAUCUUACCGGGACCGACAGCAACAUGAAGGCCAGGCUGAAGACUUUGCCGGAUUAGCUGAGAGGUGGUGCAUGGCGUAGUCGUGU
rnacentral:rRNA from 1 species